rnacentral:rRNA from 1 species
UACGUAGGGUGCAAGCGUUGUCCGGAAUUAUUGGGCGUAAAGAGCUCGUAGGCGGUUUGUCACGUCGGGUGUGAAAGCCCGGGGCUUAACCCCGGGUCUGCAUUCGAUACGGGCAGGCUAGAGUGUGGUAGGGGAGAUCGGAAUUCCUGGUGUAGCGGUGAAAUGCGCAGAUAUCAGGAGGAACACCGGUGGCGAAGGCGGAUCUCUGGGCCAUUACUGACGCUGAGGAGCGAAAGCGUGGGGAGCGAACAGG